rnacentral:rRNA from 1 species
UACGUAGGUGACAAGCGUUGUCCGGAUUUACUGGGCGUAAAGCGCACGUAGGCGGCUCCGCAAGUCGGAUGUGAAAUCCCUCGGCUCAACCGAGGACGUGCAUCCGAAACUGCGGAGCUUGAGUACUGAAGAGGAUCGCGGAAUUCCCGGUGUAGAGGUGAAAUUCGUAGAUAUCGGGGGGAACACCAGUGGCGAAGGCGGCGAUCUGGGCAGUUACUGACGCUGAGGUGCGAAAGCGUGGGGAGCAAACAGG